CCUCGCUCUGACCUGCACCGCCGCCGUGGCGGGGCUGGCCCACACUAAACACUCCGACUGCUGCUCCUCCUGUCCUACAUGGCGAGGGAAUCCUGUGUGUGUGUGUGUGUGUGUGUGUGUGUGUGUGUGUGUGUGUGUGUGUGUGUGUGUGUGUGUGUGUGUGUGUGUGUGUGUGUGUGUGUGUGUGUGU